ensembl:snoRNA SNORA2B small nucleolar RNA, H/ACA box 2B
UUGGCCCUGAAUCAAGGCCACCAGUUUGCUGAAGCUGUUGGUUUCAAGCAGGAGCCUAAAGAAUUAUUCUUUUAUGGUCUGUUGGCCAUUUCAUAACUUUGGAAAUGUAGUGGUCAAUUCAUUAGAAAGAAACAUGA